CUUCUUGGAUGAGUUGCGAACGGGUGAGUAACGCGUAGGUAACCUGCCUUGUAGCGGGGGAUAACUAUUGGAAACGAUAGCUAAUACCGCAUAACAAUGGAUGACACAUGUCAUUUAUUUGAAAGGGGCAAUUGCUCCACUACAAGAUGGACCUGCGUUGUAUUAGCUAGUAGGUGAGGUAAUGGCUCACCUAGGCGACGAUACAUAGCCGACCUGAGAGGGUGAUCGGCCACACUGGGACUGAGACACGGCCCAGACUCCUACGGGAGGCAGCAGUAGGGAAUCUUCGGCAAUGGGGGCAACCCUGACCGAGCAACGCCGCGUGAGUGAAGAAGGUUUUCGGAUCGUAAAGCUCUGUUGUAAGUCAAGAACGGGUGUGAGAGUGGAAAGUUCACACUGUGACGGUAGCUUACCAGAAAGGGACGGCUAACUACGUGCCAGCAGCCGCGGUAAUACGUAGGUCCCGAGCGUUGUCCGGAUUUAUUGGGCGUAAAGCGAGCGCAGGCGGUUUGAUAAGUCUGAAGUUAAAGGCUGUGGCUCAACCAUAGUUCGCUUUGGAAACUGUCAAACUUGAGUGCAGAAGGGGAGAGUGGAAUUCCAUGUGUAGCGGUGAAAUGCGUAGAUAUAUGGAGGAACACCGGUGGCGAAAGCGGCUCUCUGGUCUGUAACUGACGCUGAGGCUCGAAAGCGUGGGGAGCGAACAGGAUUAGAUACCCUGGUAGUCCACGCCGUAAACGAUGAGUGCUAGGUGUUGGAUCCUUUCCGGGAUUCAGUGCCGCAGCUAACGCAUUAAGCACUCCGCCUGGGGAGUACGACCGCAAGGUUGAAACUCAAAGGAAUUGACGGGGGCCCGCACAAGCGGUGGAGCAUGUGGUUUAAUUCGAAGCAACGCGAAGAACCUUACCAGGUCUUGACAUCCCGAUGCUAUUUCUAGAGAUAGAAAGUUACUUCGGUACAUCGGUGACAGGUGGUGCAUGGUUGUCGUCAGCUCGUGUCGUGAGAUGUUGGGUUAAGUCCCGCAACGAGCGCAACCCCUAUUGUUAGUUGCCAUCAUUCAGUUGGGCACUCUAGCGAGACUGCCGGUAAUAAACCGGAGGAAGGUGGGGAUGACGUCAAAUCAUCAUGCCCCUUAUGACCUGGGCUACACACGUGCUACAAUGGUUGGUACAACGAGUUGCGAGUCGGUGACGGCGAGCUAAUCUCUUAAAGCCAAUCUCAGUUCGGAUUGUAGGCUGCAACUCGCCUACAUGAAGUCGGAAUCGCUAGUAAUCGCGGAUCAGCACGCCGCGGUGAAUACGUUCCCGGGCCUUGUACACACCGCCCGUCACACCACGAGAGUUUGUAACACCCGAAGUCGGUGAGGUAACCUUUGGAGCCAGCCGCCUAAGGUGAACAGU
rnacentral:rRNA from 1 species